UGAAGGUGAGUAACUGUGUAAGUAGAUGUUUUAGGUGAACAGUAAGCCAUAUGCUGUUUAUUCACUCAUACAACAGAUAUUUACUGAGUAUUUGUUAUAUGGCCAGGCAUUGUGGGAGACACUGGAAAUACAACGAUGAACAAAAAAAGAUGUGAAGCUAUCCCCCUCCCACCUCUGGACCCUAAUAAGUGCCACCAAGUUUCAGAUACAACUAUGAUACCAUCCUUAAUUCUCUGGGUAGACAACCUCACCAAUGUGUCCUGGAACGUCACCUCUCCAGAGCCCUAUCCUACUAGGGAAAGAUAGAAGCAGCCUGAGGGUCUGGGUCCACCUGCCAAUGUCCAUGUCCAGUGGAGAAGCAAUUACAGAAGCCAGACCUUCCACCUUCUGCAUCUCAUAAACAAUUUGGUGUAUACUCCCAGAGGGAUAAAGAAUAGGGAAACUUCCAAUGGAGGGGAUGGGACACAGACUCUGGUGGUGGAAAUUGUAUGGACUUGUACCCCUGUUACCUUUCAAUCUUGUUAAUCAUUAUUAAAUCACUAAUAAUUAAAAAAUAAA